GAUUAACGCUGGCGGCGUGCAUAACACAUUCAAGUCGAACGGAGUAUAGAAAUAUACUUAGUGGCGGACGGGUGAGUAACGCGUGAGCAACCUGCCUUUCAGAGGGGGACAACAGUUGGAAACGACUGCUAAUACCGCAUAACAUAUAUUUUUCGCAUGGGAGAUAUAUCAAAGGAGCAAUCCGCUGAAAGAUGGGCUCGCGUUGGAUUAGAUAGUUGGUGGGGUAACGGCCUACCAAGUCAACGAUCCAUAGCCGGACUGAGAGGUUGAACGGCCACAUUGGGACUGAGACACGGCCCAG
rnacentral:rRNA from 1 species